UGUGACAUCACAUCCACUAACCAAAUAGGGUGGUGUGAGGAUCUCCUGUGAAAUAAAAGCUCUCCUGAUGGCCUGUUCCUGCACAUAUCCUGAGGACGCCUUCGACCACAGUCGAUCACACGCAGGUGCAGUAGAAAACACGUUCUCCCUGCAGUCUCAUGAAUUGUGAACAAAAACUGAAGUGAAAACUCAGAGGACACUCCCAGUGCAUAACUUGUCAGUAGUACUGUGUUUUUAUAACCAUCAGCAAGAAGACAAAUUUGACCGAGCCCCACCUAAUCCUCUUUGCAUGGACUGAGGCCUCUUUCGCAGUGGAAAGGAGCAGAGAAUGUGACUUUCCUGAACAACAGGAGCAAAAAUCAAUGCUGGAUUCUCUUGCCUGAAAAUAAACAAGCUUUUACUACAGAUGGUUGAAUCUAUGGAUGUGAAAGCCACAGAUAUGGAAGACUGACUGUAUAUUCAUUCCAUCCUAACAGCCUCAACAGCCUUACUUGAUUUUGGCAUCAACUCUGAAGUCUAAAAUUCAAAACUUCAUCUAAGCAUUUUUUAAAUCAGAUAUGGGAAACUCUGGAUUUUGACCAUAUUGCCACCUUUGCUCUUCAGUGUGAAGCUUGAUUUAUCAUUCUAUAUUUUGUAUUAGAAGGCACCUGUCUCUUCACAUCACCACUGACUCCACCCUUGAAAAUUGAAGGAAUAAGUCUAUAAGCCACGUAAUGUGGGUGGCUUCCAGAAGCUGGAAAGGAAUGAGAAACAGAUUUUCCCUUUAAACCUCCAGAGAGAAACUCAGUCCUGCUGACACUUUCAUUUUGGCCGAGAUUCAUUUUAGCCUUCAGAACUACAAAACUAUAAGGUGUCAAAACUGUGUCAGACCCGUUCGAGCUCUAAAACUAAUUGGAAAGAUGCUAGAGCUUUGGGCAGCCACUGAGAAGCUGGAGUGUCAGACACAGAGAUCAACGCUCUUCCUCCUUAGCACUCUUCCUCUCAUCUGCUUACUCUAUGCCAAGAAGUAGGGGGAUCUGUGGCAUCCACCAGCUCAAGUCACCAUCUCCGUCCUCUGCAGAAGGCUAGAUUGUGGUAGACCAGUCAGAGCUGCAACUGACGCAAGUCUUUCAUGUAUAAAGGCCCUUUAAAAAUUUUGAAGUACCAAACACAAAUCAAUCUCUUGCAAUGACUGGGAGAAGCUGGGUACUAGGGGUUCUCUUUAUGAUUGCAUGGCAGUGCACUGGGAACAGGGACUCCACUGAGAGAGUGUUCUGAAUCUCCCUACUAAAUUUGGUAACUCUUGAUUUUUCAUUUUCGCAGGGUGUAGUAGUCAUUCAAUUAGCUUCAGCAUUUCUUACAAAGAUAAUUUUUUCAAAAAUUGUUGUUUUUACAAUUUAUUUUUCAUACUUUAAGUUCUGGGGUACAUGUGCGGAACGUGCAGGUUUGUUACAUAGGUAUACAUGUGCCUUGGUGGUUUGCUGCAUCCAUCACCCUACCAUCUACAUUAGGUAUUUCUCCUAAGGCUAUCCCUUCCCAAUCUCCCCACUGUCUGCUAUCCCUCCCCCAGCCUCCCCAACCCUCGACAAGCACCAGUAUGUGAUGUCCCCCUCCCUAUCCAUGUGUUCUCAUUGUUCAGCACCCACUUAUGAGUGAGAGCAUGAGGUGUUUGGUUUUCUGUUCUUAUGUCAGUUUGCUGAGAAUGAUGGUUUCCAGCUUCAUCCAUGUCCCUGCAAAGAAUAUUAAUUCAUUAUUUUUUAUGGCUGCAUAGUAUUCCAUGAUGUAUAUCUGCCACAUUUUUUUUAUCUAGUCUAUCAUUGAUGGGCAUUUGGGCUGGUUCCAAGUCUUUGCUAUUGUGAACAGUGCUGCAGUACACAUAUGUGUGCAUGUGUCUUUAUACUAGAAUGAUUUAUAAUCCUUUGGGUAUAUACCUAGUAAUGGGAUUGCUGAGUCAAAUGGUAUUUCUAGCUCUAGAUCCUUGAGGAAUCACCACACUGUCUUCCACAAUGGUUGAACUAGUUUACACUCCUACCAAAAUUAUAAAAGUGCUUCUAUUUCUCCAUACCCUCUCCAGCACCUGUUGUCUCCUGAUUUUUUAAUGACUAUCAUUUUAACUGGCGUGAGAUGGUGGUAUCUCAAUGUUGUUUUUCUCUUGUAAAUUUUUUUGAGUUCUUUGUUGAUUCUAGAUACUAGCCCUUUGUCAGAUGGGUAGAUUGCAAAAAAUGUUUCCCAUUCUGUUGGUUGCGAGUUCACUGUAAUUAUAGUUUCUUUUGCUGUGCAGGAGCUCUUAAGUUUAAUUAAAUCCCAUUUGUCUAUUUUGGCUUCUGUUUCCAUUGCUUUUGAUGUUUUAGUCAUGAAGUCCUUGCCCAUGCCUAUGUCCUGAAUGGUAUUGCCUAGGUUUUCUUCUGGGGUUUUAUGGUGUUAGGUCUUACAUUUAAAUCUUUAAUCCAUCUAGAGUUAAUUUUUGUAUAAGGUGUAAGGUAGGGAUCCAGUCUCAGCUUUCUUCACACAGCUGGCCAAUUUCCUCAACACCAUUUAUUAAAUAGGAAAUGCUUUCCCCAUGCUUGUUUUUGUCAGGUUUGUCAAAGAUCAGAUGGUUGUAGAUGUGUGGCAUUACUUCUGGGGCCUAUGUUCUGUUCCAUUGGUCUAUAUCUCUUGUUUUGGUAACAGUACCAUGCUGUUUUGAUUACUGUAGCCUUGUUUGAAGUCAGGUAAUGUGAUGCCUCCAGCUUUGUUUUUGUGCUUAGGAUUGUCUUGUCCAUGCAGGCUCUUUUUUGGUUCCAUAUGAAUUUUAAGGUUUUUUUUUUCUUCAAUCAUGUGAUAAAGUCAAUGAUAGCUUGAUGGGGAUAGCAUUGAAUCUAUAAAUUACUUUGGGCAAUGUGGUCAUUUUCAUGAUGCUGAUUCUUCGUAGCCAUGAAUAUGAAAUGUUUUCCAUGUGUCGUCUCUUAUUUUCCUGAGCAGUGGUUUGUAGUUCUUCUUUAAGAGCUCCUUCAUGUCCCUUCCUGGUUGUAUUCCUAGGUAUUUUAUUCUUUUCGUGGCAAUUGUGAAUGGGAGUUUACUCAUGAUUUGGCUCUCUGUUUGUCUGUCACUGGUUUAUAGGAAUGAUUAUGAUUUUUGCACAUUGAUUUUAAUCCUGAGACUUUGCUGAAGUUGCUUAUCAGCUUAAGGAGAUUUGGGGCUGAGAUAAUAUGGUCCUCCAAAAUGCAGUCACAUCAUCUGCAAAUAGGCACAAUUUGACUUCCUCUUUUCCUAACUGAAUACAACUUAUUUCUUUUUCUUGCCUGAUUACCCUAGCCAGAACUUCCAAUACUAUGUUGAAUGGGAGUGGUGAUAGAGGGCAUCCUUGUCUUGUGCCAGUUUUCAAAGAGAAUCUUUCCAGUUUUUGUCCAUUCAGUAUAAUAUUGGCUGUGGGUCUGUCAUAAAUAGCUCAAAUUAUUUUCAGGUACAUUCCAUUGAUACCUAGUUUAUUGAGAGUCUUUAGCAUAAAGGGCUGUUGAAUUUUAUCAAUGCCCUUCUCUGCAUCUGUUGAGAUCAUCAUGUGGUUUUUGUCUUUGGUUCUGUUUAUGUGAUGAUGGAUGAUGUUUAUAGAUUUGCCUAUGUUGAACCAGCUUUGCAUCCCAGAGAUGAAGCUGACUUGAUUAUGAUGGAUAAGCUUUUUGAGGUGUUGUUGGAUUCAGUUUGUCAGUAUUUUAUUGAGGAUUUCCCAUCAAUGUUCAUCAUAGAUAUUGGCCUGAAAUUUUCUUUUUUAGUUGUGUCUCUGCCAGAUUUUGGUAUCAGGAUGAUGUUGGUCUCAUAAAAUGAGUUAUGGAGGAUUUCCUCUUUUUGUAUUGUUGGGAAUAGUUUCAGAAGAAAUGGUACCAGCUCCUCUUUGUACCUCUGGUAGAAUUUGGCUGUGAACCAGUCUGGUCCUGGACUUUUUUUCAUUGGUAUGCUCUUUAUUGCUGCCUCAACUUCAGACCUUGUUAUUGAUCUAUUCAGGGAUUCAACAUCUUCCUGGUUUAGUCUGUCCCUCAGACCACAGGGCAAUCAAAUUAGAACUAAGGAUUAAGAAACUCACCCAAGACCACAUACCUAUUGGAAACUAAAUAACCUGCUCCUGAAUGAUGACUGGAUGAAGAAAGAAAUGAAGGCAGAAAUAAAAAUGUUCUUCAAAACCAAUGAGAACAAAGACACAGCACACCAGAAAUUGCAGGACACAUUAAAAGCAGUGUCUGCAGGGAAAUUUAUAGCACUAAAUGCCUGCAAGAGACAUGAGGAAACGUUUAAAAUCGACACCCCACAUCAUGAUUAAAAGAACUAGAGGUGCAAGAUCAAACAAAUUCAAAAGCUAGCGGAAGACAAGUAAUAACUAAGAUGAGAGCAGAACUGAAGUAGACAGAGACACAAGAAAACCCUUCAAAAAAAUCAAUAAAUCCAGGAGCUGAUUUUUUGAAAAGAUCAACAAAAUAAACCGCUAUCCAAACUAAUAAAAAGGAAAAGAGAAAAGAAUCAAAUAGGUGCAAUAAAAAAAUGAUCAAGAGGAUAUGACCACUGAUUCCACAGAAAUACAAACUACCAUGAGAGAUUACUACAUACACCUCCGUGCACAUAAAUCAGUAUAUCCAGGAGAAAUGGAAAAACUCUUGGACACUUACAGCAUCCCCAAAACUGUUGGUGAUAUGUGUUCUGGGAGGUAGGAGAGUGCGGAACUUCCAUUUUGCUGACGUCACUCUGUAGGAGAUGCUUGAUCCUAAUUAAAUUUUCUAUUUUAGAAGAUAGUUGCCUUUCUAUGUUUAGAGUGUAUAUUCUGGUGUGCUUUUGUGGACUGAGUAACAAAAAAGUUUAAUUUUGAUAGCCCUUUUAAUAUCGUUAUACUUUACUUUGC